CCAGUGAUCAGAUAUCGAGCGUUCAGCACUGACUUGCUUUUUAAUGAACGCGUCAAUUAUGUGGAGACUUAACUACGUCGCAACUUUAUUAACCAUUUUCGGGAUCAUCGAGGGUUAUUCUUACCCUCAACUGAACAAAUUUGCAGAUACGUUCCCAGGGCUCGAGUUUCAUCGGGAUUUUGAAUACGAAGAAUUAAAUGCUUUUUCGAUCCGACCCACGUAUAUUCGCAAUACACAAAACGAUUAUUCGGAUUUGGAAUUACAUUGGAAAAAAAAAGACGGAAGAAUAAGUAAAGAUGCGAAACCUGAUGCUUAUGGCGAUUCGUCGGUGAAAAUGUCUGAGCGAGAAAGAGAUUUUGCACUUGAACCACAGACAAGACAAAGCUCACGCUCCAAGGCAAAGAGAACUGGAACGACAUCGAGAGCAAAGGGACCAAUUUCGAGACUUCGUUAGAUCUCAUGACCGGGAAGGCUUGCCCGACACUCCGCAGAGCGUAAGCGACGGUUUGGCGCAUUAUGAGGGAUCAACCAGUUUAAUUCGAGAAUAAAAACCUCCCGAACUCGCAACCUCGAAGCAGCGAUUACAGAAAUGUUGUAACUGCUGUCCGCAAAAAUCUUCGUUUUAAAUAAGCUGUUGGUGAACGUUGACUUUCUGAUGUACUGAGGAAAUUUUUCUUCAGCCUGAAAUUAUUAAAGAGAUUCGAUUGU